GGAGGGUUGGCAGAGUGGACGAAUGCACAUCAUUGCUAACGAUGCGUACGGAAACGUACCGAAGGUUCGAAUCCUUCAUCCUCCG
rnacentral:tRNA from 1 species